GUACACUCCUGCGGGAGGCAGCAGUGGGGAAUUUUGGACAAUGGGCGAAAGCCUGAUCCAGCAAUGCCGCGUGAGUGAAGAAGGCCUUCGGGUUGUAAAGCUCUUUUGUCAGGGAAGAAACGGUGAGAGCUAAUAUCUCUUGCUAAUGACGGUACCUGAAGAAUAAGCACCGGCUAACUACGUGCCAGCAGCCGCGGUAAUACGUAGGGUGCAAGCGUUAAUCGGAAUUACUGGGCGUAAAGCGUGCGCAGGCGGUUUUGUAAGUCUGAUGUGAAAUCCCCGGGCUCAACCUGGGAAUUGCAUUGGAGACUGCAAGGCUAGAAUCUGGCAGAGGGGGGUAGAAUUCCACGUGUAGCAGUGAAAUGCGUAGAUAUGUGGAGGAACACCGAUGGCGAAGGCAGCCCCCUGGGUCAAGAUUGACGCUCAUGCACGAAAGCGUGGGGAGCAAACAGGAUUAGAAACCCCUGUAUCCCAUG
rnacentral:rRNA from 1 species